ensembl:lncRNA
UUUUCUGUCUGCCAACAAUAUCACUUUAUUAACAGGGCUAAAAUCGUAAACAUACAAUAUAAACUUCAUUGUUACAUAAGUCAGUAUGCAAAAUUAAUUUCUUCAAUGUUCGGUGUCAGCCAGUGAGGCUUCAUUGUGAAAGCAUUGUUGAAGAAUCAACUGUCUGUGUACAUUAACAGUAACAAGAACAUGAUGUAAAAACACAUCUGCCAUUAGCUAGCAUCAUUGUGAGUAAUAACAGAGCAGUAAAAAACACAGUCUUUGCUUGCUUUUAGUGUACCACAAAACUAUUAUGCGUAAAUGUAAAUAGUGAUAUGAACAAACCUGUCUGUUCUGUGCAUAUGCAAAAGAAUUUUUUUUGUCAACAAAAGUUUGUCAUUGGUUCAGUAUGUUAUUUAUUAUAACUUUGGACAUUAUUGUGUCGGAAAAUAUUUUCCUUCCAUGACAGUUUAACAGUUCCAUGGCUGUAGUGUUUUUGACAGUAAUAAUGUGGGUUUAAGAGGUAAAUGGACCCUAAACCUAAAAUUUAUAGAACCCAAGACAUUUGCUGAUGACAGCCAUGAUUCGUUGACAUGAUCUAAAUUUUUCUUUUGAUUAGUCUUAAUGCUUCUAUUAUAAUUCUACUUUUUAUUUGUGCCCUGCUUUAGACAUUUUAAUGAAUACAUUACAUCUGAGGCAUAGGGCAAAAACCCAGCAGUCUUGUGGUUAAAUAUAGUUACAUAACUCAUAAAACUCUUAACAUUUUUUUUUUUUUUUUUUUUAAAUCAGAGUUGCUAAAGUCUCAAAAAGUUGUAAGAGUUACCAGUUUUACCAGUCCUCUUGCUUUAACCUGUGUUGAGUUAUUACAAAAAUAAUCCUAUCAAUCAGGGUUACACUAUGUAAAGUUAAACUCCAGAAAGACCUUUAAAGGUUUACAUUCAAUAGCACAGAUGCAUGGAUGGGGAAGUUCUUUUGAUGGUUGAAGGUUUUAUUUUCCUCAUAUCAUACUUAGACCCAGGGUAGCCACAGUGAUCAGUAGAGCUGUAGGUGAGAAUGGAAGAAA